AGAGUUUGAUCAUGGCUCAGGACGAACGCUGGCGGCGUGCUUAAGACAUGCAAGUCGUACGAGAAAGUCUCUUCGGAGAUGAGUAAAGUGGCGCACGGGUGAGUAACGCGUGGGUAAUCUGCCCUUAGGUUUGGGAUAACCCCGGGAAACCGGAGCUAAUACCGAAUGAGACCACGAUGACUUCGGUCGAUGUGGGAAAAGGUGGCCUCUUCUUGAAAGCUAUCGCCAAAGGAUGAGCCCGCGUUUGAUUAGCUAGUUGGUGAGGUAAUGGCUCACCAAGGCGACGAUCAAUAGCUGGUCUGAGAGGAUGAUCAGCCACACUGGAACUGAGAUACGGUCCAGACUCCUACGGGAGGCAGCAGUCAGGAAUAUUGGGCAAUGGGCGAAAGCCUGACCCAGCAACGCCGCGUGAAGGAUGAAGGCCUUCGGGUCGUAAACUUCUGUCGAGAGGGAAGAAUGCGUACGGGUGAAUAAUCCGUGCGUUGACGGUACCUCCAAAGAGAU
rnacentral:rRNA from 1 species